rnacentral:rRNA from 1 species
UGCCAGCAGCCGCGGUAAUACGAGUGCCCCAAGCGUUAUCCGGAAUUACUGGGCGUAAAGGGUCCGUAGGCGGUCGUAUUAGUCUUUUGUUAAAGCUCCCGGCUCAACCGGGAAAACGCAAAAGAAACGGUACGACUAGAGAAUGCGAGAGGUGUACGGAACUCACGGUGUAGGGGUGGAAUCCGUUGAUAUCGUGGGGAACACCAAAGGCGAAGGCAGUACACUGGCGCAUUUCUGACGCUAAGGGACGAAACCCUGGGUAGCGAAUGGGAUUAGAUA